CAGAUAGCGGGAGGGGAAAACCUCCUCUCUGAAAGGGAUGAUGUCAGUCUCUGCAGCUGAGCCCCGGUCCCCGACUCGAUAGGGUGAAGACUCACUCCUCCAGAAAAAAAACACAAGACCGGCUGGCACGAGCCACAUCCACAAAGAGGGAGGCAAGGGGUGAGAGGCAGACUGAGGGAAGAAGCAAAGGGAGAGUCUGGUGAAUGAAAUCCUGCAGCACCUGACUGAGGGGCCCCAGAGGAGAUUCUCUGCUGCAGCGUGACGAAGCACGCCACGAGGUUCAGGUCUCAUGGCAAUUCAGACACCGAAGAUGUGAGAACACUACUCCUCUUUGUAUUCCCUGUGCGUUUCUACAUGUAUGCCACUGUGUAGUAUGGCUUUUUAUUCCUAUGUGAUGAUGAAAAAUGUUCAUGUAGGAAUAGAAGCCAUUUUACAUGUGGUGAGAGAGCAACUUGACGGAAACAUGACGCCAGUUUGAGCUCCUCGCCGCCUGCUCAACGGCGCUCGCAGAGAACCAGCAUAUGGCUGGAUAAAUGUAACUGUCUCCUCCUGAAGGUUUCCCUGUAGUAAAGAUACAUUUGUGCUCAUCUUUCAGAUGAUGAGUAAGCUCACUGAAGUACUGAUCUGAAGACAGAAAAAAAGAGAAGCCAGACUUUGUUGUGUGUGCACCUGUUUUUGCCUCCAGGCACAAGGAGUUUCUACUGUUUCCAGUGUUUGAUGCAUGUGGUGACAGCUGUGGUCCACAGGGAUGGAAGCAGGAACAUUUGCAAAACAUGUCAUGAACAAACGAAGAAAAGAGCAAGGACGGACCAAUACAGAUCUUUAAUAACCAACUAUAAAAGAGGCACUUAGUGAACCACUUUACAACUUGCAAGAGGCACUGCAUUUCCCUUUCUUCUCAAUCUGAUUCUUUUUGCACAUUAUUAAAAUAAAACUUUGACAUGAAGCAUUACACCAAACAAUAACCUACCUACAAUAUUAUACAAUAUAAGAUACAUACAGUAUAAACAAGAUAAAGCACCUUUGUUGUCCUAGUAAAUACUAUUCAUAAUUAAACAUUUGGAGUUACAGACACA